ACGGAUGGACAGGACCAUACCAGAGACAAAACUUGAACUAGCUAACGAGCCCAAAGACGCAACACUAUACUGGACCUAACACAAAGCAUUUAGGGUUGCAUAUGCCAUUGGAACUUUGACCAUUGAGUCUCCCAUCAUGCCAAAUUUAGCAAGAAGAGUCUUGGUGUAUGCUUCCUGGUUGAUAAAGAUGCCUUCGGGUCCCUGUCUAAUAUUUAAACCAAGGAAAAAGUUAAUCAGACCCAUUGAGCUCAUUUCAAAUUUAGUCUCCAUCAGCUUUCUGAAUUCAGCUGUUAAGCUAGGAUUCGUUGAGCCAAAGAUGAUAUCAUCGACAUAGAUUUGAACAAUCAUAAGGUGGUUACCUUCCUUCUUACGAAAGAAGGUUGGGUCAACCGAACCUUGUUUGAAUUUUGACAUCUUUAAGAAUUUAGUUAGCGUUUCAUACCAUGCCCUAGGUGCUUGUUUCAGACCGUAAACAGCUUUGUCUAGAAUAUAACAGUGAUUUGGGUACUUUUCAUUGACAAAACCAGGAGGUUGCUCCACGAAAACUGUUUCUUCAAGUUCUCCAUUUAGAAAGGUGCAUUUCACGUCCAUUUGGUAGACCUCGAAGUUCUUGAACUGUUUCUUCAAGUUCUCCAUUUAGAAAGGUGCAUUUCACGUCCAUUUG
rnacentral:lncRNA from 1 species